UAUGCACAUCCCCUUUGGUGAGGUGCAGGGCAAAAAAGGGGCAGGAUACAACUGAAAAGAAUGAGAUGCCCGCACUCUGCUAAUUCUCCCUUACGUUUUUAUUGUGCUGCAACGUUUUGAUAAUGUGCAA